CAAGUAUUGUAUGAUUCCACUAAUAGGAGGUUUGUGGUAUCAACUAUCAUAUAUUCAUGCCCAGGUGUAAAUGGACCUGCUUUUGAGCAUCUUAUUCUGCUUCACUCGCUUGUUUACCUGUUCCUCUGCCAACAGCACAUUGUUUUUAUUACUAUGGCUUUGUAGUGUGUCUUCUUAUCUCAUGGUGUGACUCUUUUCACAUUUCCUUUCAAAAGCCUGUGCAUCCAUAUUUAUUUCAAUGAUGCAGACUUCAUAAGUUUUCGACUGCCGUUUACAGGACAAAGCACAGAAUAUCAAGUCAGGCAAGCUCUAAGUGGGCUGCUUCUCUGACAGCGAUGGCAACAGUGCAAAGGGCAACCAGAAGCAUGCGAGGCCUCUCAAGGCCUGGAGCUUCAACAGACAUGGAGUCAAGCUCAAAGUCAAGGGGCAAGGGGACUGCACCCUGUGCAGAGUGAGCCGAUGGAAGGCUGCGGAAGCAGAGAAGGUGGAAGAAUUGGAGUCAUCAACUCAAUCCACCAUUAGGGUCCAUCUAAACUCCACUACCUGGAUUUCAAAGUCUAUUGUCUGGACUUGCUCCAUUCAUCCAACCCAACCCCCGACUUUGGGCUAUUCAUUUGGGACACAAUUCAUGGACCUUAGGAAUCUUCCAGAAGCUGGACAAUAUUGGGCAAUUCCAGACAGCAAACCAUAUUUCAACUGCAGGCCAAAUUUAGCUUACUUCUGCUUUCCCAUCACACAAAAAAGAGGGGGCAGUUUUAUGGGCCCACUUGUUAUUGGUAGUGUUUAUAAAAUAAACAAAUGUUAAACAAUUUUUCCUCUAGAAAUACACUAAGCCAGAGAUCUUCUUUAUGAUCUUUUUUUUUUUUUUCCAGUGCUUUGGGGGAAAAAAAUCCCCAGGAAUUAU